AUUGCUGCGGUUAAAAAGCUCGUAGUUGGAACUGAGUCGCAUGCAGUGGUUCGCCUUUGGCGUUAAUCGCUGUUGCGACUAUUUGCUGGUUUUCACCUGAGGUUUCAGCUUCUUUAGUGGCUAGCGAGUUUACUUCAAAUAAAUUAGAGUGCUCAGAGCAAGCGUUUGCUUGAAUGCUCGAUCGUGGUAUAAUAAAAGAGGACUUCGGUUCUAUUUAUUGGUUCAGGAACUGAAAUAAUAGUUAAGAGGGACAAUUCGGGGGCAUUCGUAUCCCUGCGCGAGAGGUGAAAUUCGUGGACCGCAGGGGGACGCCCUAAAGCGAAAGCAUUUGCCAAGGAUAUCUUCAUUAAUCAAGAACGAAAGUCAGAGGUUCGAAAGCGAUUAGAUACCGCCCUAGUUCUGACCGUAAACUACGGCAGCUAGCGAUCCGAUAGGGUAUUGUUGCCUUCUCGAGGAGCUUCCCGGAAACGAAAGUCUUCCGGUUCCU
rnacentral:ncRNA from 1 species